AUGGGGCAGCUAUAAUGCAGUCGAGCGGACAGAUGGGAGCUUGCUCCCUGAUGUUAGCGACGGACGGAUGAGUAACACGUGGGUAACCUGCCUGUAAGACUGGGAUAACUCCGGGAAACCGGGGCUAAUACCGGAUGGUUGUUUGAACCGCAUGGUUCAAACGAAAGAGGUGGCUUCGGCUACCACUUACGGAUGGACCCGCGGCGCAUUAUCUAGUUGGUGAGGUAAUGGCUCACCAAGGCAACGAUGCGUAGCCGACCUGAGAGGGUGAUCGGGCACACUGGGACUGAGACACGGCCCAAACUCCUACGGGAGGGGCAGUAGGGAAUCUUCCGCAAUGGACUGAGUCUGACGGAGCAACUCCGCGUGAGUGAUGAAGGUUUUCGGAUCGUAAAGCUCUGUUGUUAGGGAAUAACAAGUACCGUUCGAAUAGGGCGGUACCUUGACGGUACCUAACCAGAAAGCCACGGCUAACUACGUGCCAGCAGCCGCGGUAAUACGUAGGUGGCAAGCGUUGUCCGGAAUUAUUGGGCGUAAAGGGCUCGCACGCGGUUUCUUAUGUCUGAUGUGAAAGCCCCCGGCUCAACCGGGGAGGGUCAUUGGAAACUGGGGAACUUGAGAGCAGAAUAGGAUAGUGCAAUUCCACGUGUAGCGGUGAAAUGCGUAGAGAUGUGC
rnacentral:rRNA from 1 species